GUUUUUAUUAUUACUUCUACACAGAGGAGUGAGGGGACUCCUGGCCCUGUUGGACCUGCAGGUGUCCCAGGAAUUGAUGGCAUAGAUGUGAGCUUUCUUUUCUCCAAGAUAUUAUUGUUAUUAAGUUCACUAUCUGAUCUCCUCAAGUCACGGAGUCUGUCUUUGUUUCAGGGGGAAAGAGGAGUUGGUGGCGAAGAUGGCCCACCUGGGCCUGAUGGAGAUGCAGGGAAACCUGGCUCUUCAGGGUUACCAGGAAUCCCAGGGAAUGAUGUAAGUCAUCUUUAUACUAUUACAUUCACUACAUUUAGAGUGUAACCAUCACGACUGCAGCCACAUCAAGUGUGAUUGUCCCACCGUGUAAGAUGUGUUUGUACUAGUUCAUUUUAAGCAGCUAAUGCUUUUUUUGUGGUGGUGUUGAAAUUUUGGGAAAACCUUUAUUAGGAAGUCCUAGCUCUCAACAAUAGCAGCCUUGUGUUCCUGUUGAGAGUCCUGAAACAGCAUGGGAAAACUUUUUGUUUUUUUUCUUCAAUGAGCCAGAGGAAUGUUACUCUGGGCUUGGUUUGAAGUCUGAGAUCUUUGACCUCUGCCCUGGUGUUGACUUUUUCUGUGUGUCUGUCAAAGUGAACACGCUUGUGACAUGUUCAUAAACAGAACUUUCAUUUUAAUGUGAGUAAUCCUGCUGUAGCUAUGGAUACAUGAGGCUCCUCCUACCGGAGUGUAAUAUAAUGACGUAAUACAGAUAAUCAUGAAUAAAAAUACUAAAUGAAAAUAUACUGAGACUGCU
rnacentral:lncRNA from 1 species